rnacentral:rRNA from 1 species
UACGUAGGGUGCGAGCGUUGUCCGGAAUUAUUGGGCGUAAAGAGCUCGUAGGCGGCUUGUCGCGUCGGAUGUGAAAGCCCCGGGGCUUAACUCCGGGUCUGCAUUCGAUACGGGCAGGCUAGAGUUCGGUAGGGGGAGAUCGGAAUUCCUGGUGUAGCGGUGAAAUGCGCAGAUAUCAGGAGGAACACCGGUGGCGAAGGCGGAUCUCUGGGCCGAUACUGACGCUGAGGAGCGAAAGCGUGGGGAGCGAACAGG